rnacentral:rRNA from 1 species
UACGUAGGGGGCUAGCGUUGUCCGGAUUUAUUGGGCGUAAAGAGCGUGUAGGCGGCCGGGUAAGUCCGGUGUGAAAACUCGAGGCUUAACCUCGAGAUGUCAUCGGAAACUAUUCGGCUAGAGUCCGGAAGAGGAGAGUGGAAUUCCUGGUGUAGCGGUGAAAUGCGCAGAUAUCAGGAAGAACACCUAUGGCGAAGGCAGCUCGCUGGGACGUUACUGACGCUGAGACGCGAAAGCGUGGGGAGCAAACAGG